UACGUAGGGUCCGAGCGUUGUCCGGAAUUACUGGGCGUAAAGAGCUCGUAGGCGGUUUGUCGCGUCGUUCGUGAAAACUCACAGCUCAACUGUGGGCGUGCGGGCGAUACGGGCAGACUUGAGUACUGCAGGGGAGACUGGAAUUCCUGGUGUAGCGGUGGAAUGCGCAGAUAUCAGGAGGAACACCGGUGGCGAAGGCGGGUCUCUGGGCAGUAACUGACGCUGAGGAGCGAAAGCGUGGGGAGCGAACAGG
rnacentral:rRNA from 1 species